rnacentral:lncRNA from 1 species
AGGAAAAAAUGAGGUAAAAACAUAUAUGGAAUGAAAUAGGUUUUGAAUUGUUACCCAUUUUGGGUACUCCUGACUUGGUUGAUGGAUGAUUCUCCACUGCUCGCGUGUAGGAAACCCGGUAUGCCUCGAGGGUAUUUUUGUCCUCUUUUGUCCAAAAGUCCACGUGUCGCCUAGUGAAUAUUUUUGGCUCCACAAAUGCCCCCACACCUGUUGGGCUGCUCGCAGAAAAGGGCAGCAGGUGUAGAGAUCUUCUUGCUUUAGGAAACUUAAGACUGCUUCCUAUUUUGAUGUAUAUUCUCUCUUUAAUAGGAAAUUAGAUCAUUCUAGGAAAGGGAAAUAAAUUUCUCUCAAAGCCUAUUUAAAUCCACCUUAAGUGGGUUAUUAAAUCAACUUUGGAGAGCGAUUUAUUCUACCCUACAAGAGAGAGAUGGCUUAGAGGAUAUUUGUUCCCCCUCCUCUAGCAAUCUUCUACAUCUUGCCCGUGCAAAUGACCGUCUUUCGUUGAUUUCUUCAUCUUCUUCGUGGAUGGUGCUACCGCGGGGCAGCCGUCGGGGUGGUGCGGCACGUCGGCUGGCAUGGGCCAGGAGUCGACUCGGCAUGGGCCGAUGAGGUAUUGUGGCAGGGACCACUGCUUUAAGUUGCUCGACUUGGCUAGAACCAAGGGCAGCUUGUGUGGCUGGGGCCUCGGAUUGUGGCACUGGGGCGCAGUGCUAGGCAAGUCACAUGGCUUAUGUCCUUUUAAGCUUUUGGACAUGACGUGAGCUAGACUGGUGAUUGAGAGAAAUGAAGAGGUUGCGGUCCUCAUGAGCUGCUAGAAUGUUGGGUUGAACUUCCCUGCUAGGUACCACGAAUGACAUUGGCUACUUUAACUCUUUUCGUCAGGAGAAACGUGGGUUGCUCCCAAAAGAGGAGGUGAAUAGGAUCAAAGUGGAUGCACUGGCUCGUCCAAUCACCGUUGUGGAUCCCACUGCAAUUGAAGGUGGGAAAAUGGAUCUUCUCUGCUUGCUCAAGAUAUGCCGGCUGAGAAAAAACCAAAGACUUCUUUCGCUGCUCGAGCUGGUUCGCCGACUACCUCCUGUCUUGUGAUUGACUUGACUUUUUCCAAGGGGACGAAAAAUGAGGCUGCUAGAUCUGAGCAUGUGGCGCCUACCAUGUCAAUAAUGGCUAGUACGAUUGCUGAUAGGAUUGUUCGGCAUAAAGGUCUUGUCAUGCCCUUAGUGCCGAAUUUUGUACCAAGACGUCUGUUGGGAGCUAAGUCCAGUUCCCAUUUGGAGAGGCUUGCUAUUAUGAAAAGCGAUAAGGUAGACUCUACUGCUAAAGUGGCACCAAGGCCCAUUCCUUAGCUGCUGAGACUGAUUCGCCUGUUUAUGCUAAGAAGGGAGUGGAUGAGCUGCAGCGCGUCCGUGUUAGUCUGCUUAAGAAGAAUGAGCAGCUGAAGGGUGAGAAGGAUGUGCUUGAGGUUUUAAGACCUUCUCUAUUUCUCCGGAAGACUUGCUUGCUUUACUUUUAAGGCUUUCAUUGGUGAAGUAGUUGGAGAAGUUAGUGCCCAGGCUAGGGCAGCCGGGGGUGAACUGCCGGAUAAUGCCGCUGCUAAGAGCGUUACGGCUGCUGAAGGUGUGGCAACCGAGUAGUCGUGGGAUGUCCAAGCUGCUGUAGUGUAGUAUUCUAGGUAGCCUUUAGGAUUUUCUUUGUUUUUCCUUGUAGCUCUUGUUUUGCUUGAACUCCUUCGGCCUUUGCUAGUUAUUUAUAAACAUGUUUUCCUUUGUUUUUCUUCAUCUUCGCUUCUUUUGUUCAUGCCCUAACCUUUAGACUUGAUAGACCAGUGGCAGGCAUGCUACUUUUUUAUAAGCAGACAAGCUCGCGUAGCCUAUGCAGCCGUAGGUGUUGGUGUAGAACUUUGCAAAGUUGUUAGCCAUAGGGUUGGCAGCCGGAUGUCUUACUUACAGAAGCAGACAAGUCCGCGUAACCACUAGGCUGUUAACCUUGACUUUCUUCAAUUCCGUAGGUUGCGUAGCAAGUAUCACAACACUUUAGGACUUGGUGUAGGUUGUUCCGCGCUUGGCAGAGGUGAAGCUUAUCGACUACGUAACAUGUCGGCAGUGGAUAAAACUUCGUAUAUGCGCGCUAGCUUGUUUAACCUUUCACAAGAAUGUGCGGUUGUAUAAGUCUAGCGCUGCUUUACUGCUCGAAGGGCAAGCCGUAGGCAGUCUUCCAGAAUCCGUAGGCUACCUUAGUGCACUCGGUAGCAGCUUUAGGGUUCCAGGGCAGCCGUCUAUAGGGCGUACUGCGUAAUGUUCCCCCUCCGUCUGUAGGGCCCGGUUACCCGUGGAUUAGGCCAAGAGACCCAAAAUCCUUCAGUUAGCUAAGCCUUGAAAAAGACCAUUGUGGCUACUUCUAGGAAUCCCGGCUCAAGCCAUCGUGCAUCUAGUUACACUAGGGCAGCCAUGCUCAUCCACGUCUGGAUAUUCGGAGUGUAAAGUUUAUCCUCCUGUCUUGGAGAGCUAACCCAUAUGGGUGUCGGGGAAUUGGUUUACCCUCUCGUACUGGAGAACAUGGUUGGUCCCUCGGGGGGCGCAAUUCCUGCGAUGAGUCCCUAAGAAGGGCGCAGUCUUCUUUUGAAGUGCAUGAGUGAUUAAUUGUUGUAAGCAUACAGCCGAGCCAAGUUGUGAUUACUUCUAAAUUCCUCAUUGAAAAACGAGUGAAACGAACGAGAACUUAGUUGUAAGGUAGGAAUUGCAUAACAACUGGAUAGUCCUCAGCUUGUGAGGUGGUGCCCAUCGAGCUUUUUGAGUCUUCGGGCUUUGAUGUAGUGGGAGGUCACACACGGUACUUCUUCAGAUUGUAGGCACUCCACUACUUUUCGAUCAUUUUAUCGUUUCAUGGUGGCGAGGGUGUAAUUACUCUUGCCGCUUACUCUGCUGAUUUUGUACGGACCUUCUCUAUGGGCAAUGAUGAAGGCUUUUCUUAGGACUAGAUCUCUGGGCUGGAAUUGCUGCUGGUAAGCUGCGAUGCGAGUGAAGUCUACUCGCACUUCUCCUCUGCCAGAUUUAAGCUUGUGGCCAUCUCAUUUCGGUUGCUCGUCUUUUGGUGGUGCGAUAUGCCCAUAGACAUCUAGGGAGUUCAUCUGGCCAUUUUCUUUUCUUACUGGUGGGGGAUUUCUUGUGACAGUCGAUGAUCAUUUUGGUGGAUACUUUGGCCCGCCUAUUGCCUUGAGAAUAUCUUGGCGUAGACAUGUGCUGCUUGAUGCCAUAUUUUUGGAAGAACUUCGCCAAAUCUUUGCCCAUGAAUUGCGGGCCGUUGUCGGUGACGAUGGAUUAAAGGAUGCCAUAUUGAUAAAUGAUGUUCCUCCAUAUGAAACGCUCUAUGUCCGUCUGAAUCGUGGUCAUCAUGGGCUUUGCUUCUACCUAUUUGGUGAAGUAGUCGGUUGCCACGAUCGUCAUGCCUUUGCCCCCAGUAGUCUGGCCGGUGAUUAGCUGGGAAUCGGAAUAAAUUGAAAGCUUUUCACCGCCAAGUCUUUUGUCAUUCGAAGGCCUGCUAGUAGGGCUUCGUAUUCUGCUUCGUUGUUAGAUGAUUUGAAGCUUAGAGUGAUCGCCUGCUCGAACAUUGAAACGUCUGGGGUGGCAAGAACCACGGCUGCUCACGAGCUUUUGUAGUUGGAUGAUCCAUCGACAUGCAAACGCCAGAAAUCUCCAUUGAGGGAGCAGGUGUGGCUAAAGUGUGCUCAGCUGCCUUCGGGGUGCCAUUGGGCCGUUCUGUUGCGUUGUCAAGGCUAGGUUUGAAGGCGCGGUAGGGAGCCGUGGAGCUGGGGCCAUGUUACAUGUAGCAGGAGAUGCUCAACUUCCGGUAUUAAGCCACUAUAGAGUUGAAUCUUCUGGGGCGACGAGGACAAAACUUGCUUCUGAGUGUUCCUUCUAGUGUUCGUCUGCCAUUGGCGUGUCUUUUGGGCCGAGUUGUUGUGUUCGUAAAAAAACUUUGCAUCUGCCAGGGUCUAUGCCUUUAUCGUCGCAGGUUUGGAUUCGGCGGAAUAAUGCGUCAUGAUGAUGAUUGCGUGCGUUUGAAGGUAAAACUUAAGCUUUUGGGUUACAACAACUAUCGCCAAAGUUAGCUUUUGAAUUUUUAAUAGCAUCGAGAAGAGCUUUUGAACUGUAGAAUACAGGUAGUCGGGCCCCCAGCUCUUCUCGUAAGAUGGUAGAGCUUAUUGCUACUUUAGAUACCGUCAACAUGCGAAUAAGUCAUCCGUUGCUACUAUGGAGGUGAUGUCGGGUACUUCUUCAAGUCCUUGAAUGUGCAUUGGCGAGCCUCAUCCCAGAGUGCAUGCUUCUCUGCCAAAGCAAAAGAGUCUGCCAGAGUUAGAUAUUCUUUCAUGAUCAAUUUUUCGAAUAGCUGGUGGUCUGCUGGAAGUCCUUUUUGGAAUGCUGCUCUAGCUAUCGAAUCGUUGCAUCAGACUAUUUUUACCUUCUCUACUUUGAACCUCCUCAUAUAGUCGCAAAGCGACUCCUUUGGGUUCUUCUUGACGUCGAACAAAUGGUCAGACUUCUUUUUGAUCGAGCGAUAUGAUGAAUAUUCUUUAGUGAAAACCAAAGAAAGUUCGUAGAAAUUUCGGAUGGAUUGUGGCGGCAGGGUGUAGAACCAAUCUUGCACCUCGCCUUAUAGAGUGGUGGUGAAUAUCUUGCACAUGAGAUCAUCGUUGUUUCGAUAAAGGAUCAUUGCGCUUCGGUAGCACUUUAAGUGUCUCUUCGGGUCUUCAUCCUCUUUGAAAGAUGUGAAAUGUGGCAUGCCGAAAUCGCGUGGAGGCUCUGCCUGCUCGAUCUCAUCUGUGAAGGGUGACCUGCUUAUGUUGGUCAUGUUCCGUCGUAGUGCCUCGUUGGUGACCUCGUUGCGUUAGAAAUCAUGCAAUCGCUUGGUCAAAAGUCUCUUUACUUCUUCCUGAAUUUGCCUUUGUUGGGGUAGCGAAGCUUUCGGCUGCCCCCAGCCAUGACUUGCUGGUCUAGGCUGCUCUUCCAUGUGUUUGGCUCGUCUAUGCCGUGGAUGCAGUGCAUAUGGUGCGUUCCUAGCAGGCGAACGAGUUUUUCGCAGGCUGCUGGUUGAACUUGAGCUGGAUUGAGUGAUUGCUUCUCUCCGUCCGUCGGGCUGCCUACUCUGAUGUGAGGUGGAUGAUGCUCCUUGCGGGCUUAGCCGUAAAUGAACACUUCGCCUGGAAAACUGCUCAUGUUGACUAUCGGAGUGUGACCCUAACCGUGAAUGUAUGCUCGUUUGUGGGCCUAGUCGAGAGUGCACGCUCCUCCACGCUCUAAGACGGGAGUAUACUCUAUCUCGAUGGCCCAAUCGGGAGUGUAUACUGCCUGAACGCUCCGUUCGUGGCUAGUCAAGUGGCUGCUUACCGGGACGCUACUAGAGUGGUUCUUUGUCUGCCCUUGUCCUACUUCGGAACAUCUUGUCUGGGGCACGUUGCAUCUCGAUGCGUUGCAAGAGCUGGUUCACCAAGGUCGUCUGCUGUGCGAGGACGGUUGUCAACUCUAUGACCUGUCAUGACAAGUGUUGUUCUCCAUUUGGGUUGGAAGAGCUUGGAAUGAAUGUGCCUCCUUGGGCAAUGGAAGAGUGGUAGACUCUGGGCACGAGAUUUGAGUUGGGAAAUGUCAAAUUCGCGAAAAAAUAUGGUGAGAAUGCCCCCGGCUCGAUGGUAGGUCCGGAUGGUUGAGAUAGUCUUGGGCCGACUUGGGCUGUUUUGAAAACCACUGGAGCAGGAUGGGCCGUGAGAGUGGGCUGCUCGACGGAAGCAGGCUGGACCACGGGAGUGGGCUGCUCGUCGGGAGCAGGUUAGGUCACGAGAGCAGGCUGCUUGGCGGGAGCAGGUUGCUUGGCGGGAGCAGGCUGCUUAGUAUGUGAUGCAUGCGAAUGCGAGGCUUGGGCCCAGGCCCGUGCAAACUUGGAUGGCACGACUUGGGCCGUGGCCUUGGUGCCGUAAGCCUUGGAUGACACUGCUCGAGCCGUGGUGAAGGCUCCAUGGACCUCUCCACGGGUGGCUACCGAGGUAGCCACCGUGGUGGUUCCCAUGGUGGAAACUCGUGGUGGUGGUGCCGCUCCACUUAUUGUCGCAUUUAGCCUCACGGAUCUCCGCAAUCCCAUUUCUUGAACAUUAGAAUUUUCACUUGUGGAAAUUUCUAAAUUUCUAGCCAUUAUAUUUUGCUUAUACGUUUUAUCAAAGAACCUUUGCAAGUAAAAAAUUCUAAUAAUAAGAACGUAUGAAAAAUAUUCAAAUGGACUAGAAAAUAAAGAAAAAACCUUUUUGUGCGAGAGUCUUCUACGAGUAUGGAUUUCAGCUCUCAAUGAAAGCACCAAUUUGUGGAUGCAAAUUUCUUCCUCCUUGAUCUUGGACAAUUUUGCACCUACAAAACAAUUAACACCUUAGGUUAAGGCCAAGAGCCUUACGCGCCCACGAUGAAUGGGGGGGGCUUUGGCCGAAGAACCUCCGAUGCCAAAGUUAGAAUUUAGAGAGAAAGAGUGUUUAGAGAUUUUUGGGAUUUUUGCCAAAGUGUUGGAAUUGGCUUUUUGGUGAGAAAUGAGAGUAUAUUUAUAGGGAUAGGAGGUGGCUAGGGUUUUUUGGGUUUGAUUUAGGUUUAAUUAGCCAAUUUAUUUGGCUAUUAAACAUAAAAUGAAUGUUUUGGUGGUUUUUUGUAUAAUUGGCUAAUCAAUGUCACAAAAAGGAAAAUUAUGGUGAAAAAAGAAGGAAAUGGCCGGCUCCCUUUGGAGAAGGGAUAACCGGCCUUUAGGGUGAUUUUUGGGCUUAAUUUGGUGAUGUAAUUAGCCUUUAAUAUAUUGAUUAUAUUAAUUGGUUGAGGAUGUUAUGGAAUGUUUGAAAUAAAUGGCUAAUUGAAUAAGGAAAAAAUGAGGUAAAAACAUAUAUGGAAUGAAAUAGGUUUUGAAUUGUUACCCAUUUUGGGUACUCUUGACUUGGUUGAUGGAUGAUUCUCCAUUGCUCGCGUGUAGGAAACCCGGUAUGCCUCGAGGGUAUUUUUGUCCUCUUUUGUCCAAAAGUCCACGUGUUGCAUAGUGAAUAUUUUUGGCUCCACAGUUAUCCCCAAAGGCAAAAGGAGAGUCCUAGCUACAAUAGUGAAUUAAUAUGGUCCACAAGAAUGUGGGUUUCCAAUCAUUUGGUCGAUCAAGAGAGUAAUUUACAUAAUUCGGCCGAAUACACAAGUAUUGUGAUUCCUUUUGAAAAUGUUACAGCGUCAUAUAAGUUAAAAAUUUACACACAUAUUGACACAUAAUAUCAUAAUCAUGGUAUACCCGUAUAAUAUUUGCCUUUCUAUAGUCAAUCAUGAUAUAAUUUAGGGGUGUGAUAUUCACACACCCUUUUUUACUUCUCCCACAUCUUUUUAGUUUUCGGCCGUUGGAUAAGAUGAAUUGAAGAAGAUCAACAGACAUAAAUUAAUUAGGGGUGUGUGAGAAGUCAAAAGGGGUGUGUGGAUAGCACACCCCUAUAAUUUAAUAUCUCAUAAAGUUGAUGUGAAUUUAGUAAAAGAGUAGUAAUGAUAACUACAAAGGAGAAAGAAAACAAGGUGUUUUGGUAUGUAAAAUAAUAUUUAAUUUUGAACGUACUAGUCAUUUGGUACGUAAAGUAAUUACCGUAACAAACGUGUUUGUUAUUGUAAUUAAAAAUGUGCUAAAUAUUGUUUGUGCAAUGUGAGUUUGGAACGUACCAAAUAUUGUUUGUGUUUUUUGUAGCACACGAACAAAGUUUGCACUCCAGUCUCAAACAAUCAUUUAGGAAAAACCAUAUUUGUAUCAAGAAAGUAUACCAGCCAUGCACAAAUAACACCGAUGUGAAGCCAAGCAAACACAAGAUUCUCUCUUGUUGCCAAACGGGAACAAGAUAAAUUUGUAAAAACAACCACUAAUUAAAAUGAAAAUUCCAUUCGAAUUUCAAACAUGGGAGAGCACAAAUUUCAAACGUGAAGAUUAAUUUCCAAACGUUAUCAACAAGCAGAAAAUAUUUCCCUAAAAAAGAGGACACAUAAAAAUAAAAUAAAAAACUCUUAAAAGAACAUAUUUGGAAACUGAUAAUUAGAAUUUUACCGUAAAAACAUAUCUCUACUAAUUAAUGAAACCCUCUUUGUCAACCAAAAGAGGGUGAAAAGACAAAUUAGUCUUCUAUCACACAAAAAAAAAUGAUGGGUAAUAAUGUAAUUUCACAGGUCUAAAUUUUAUUGAAGCUUCACCUAUCCGUGAUGUUAAAAUACCUUCAAUAUUAAUAUUAAAAAAAAACCCAAAAACAAAACUCAAAAUCUCCCACUCUUCCCACGUUUUCUUUCUCUCUCUCUCUCCCUCACUCCUUCUCAUUUUCUAAAAAAAUAUGUUCAUUCACACAAAAUGUUGACGUGACUAUUGAUUAAAGCAUCUUAUUCAAAUCUUAAAAUGAAACAAUUGUUUUAUCAAAAAAUUGUUAAAAAAUUACAGGGAUUCUAAUUAUACCUCUUUUGUUUUUAUUGAAGAUUUUGAUCUGAAAAUAAUUGGUAACAUAGCUUUCGGCGGGCUAGUUUGGUUUUAAUUUUGGGGUCCGUUUAUUUUGGAAGUUAGUUAAAUCCAUUAUUUUUCUAAGUGUUUAUCUUAAACAAAAUUAAAAUUUUUUUUUUUUUCCUACGCGUUUCUCUUAAACAAAAUUUAAAAAACGGUCUGUUUGGUGAAGGCUGUUUAUUUAUUUAUUUUAAAGUCGAACACCCGUAGUUACCUUCUGUCGCGCCUGCACGCAGUCACUUCUGCUCGUUUUCUCCCCGAAACGCCCGGUUUUUUACUUGGAUUAAUGCAAAGUUAAAAAAAAAAAAAAAAAGUUUCUGAAUUUCCAAUCAGCCCUUCAAC